AGCGAACGCUGGCGGCAUGCCUUACACAUGCAAGUCGAACGGCAGCGGGGGAGAAGCUUGCUUUUCCUGCCGGCGAGUGGCGAACGGGUGAGUAAUACAUCGGAGCGUGCCCUGUAGUGGGGGAUAACUAGUCGGAAGAUUAGCUAAUACCGCAUACGACCUGAGGGUGAAAGUGGGGGACCGCAAGGCCUCAUGCUAUAGGAGCGGCCGAUGUCUGAUUAGCUAGUUGGUGGGGUAAAGGCCUACCAAGGCGACGAUCAGUAGCUGGUCUGAGAAGACGAUCAGCCACACUGGGACUGAGACACGGCCCAGACUCCUACGGGAGGCAGCAGUGGGGAAUUUUGGACAAUGGGCGAAAGCCUGAUCCAGCAGUGCCGCGUGUGUGAAGAAGGCCUUCGGGUUGUAAAGCACUUUUGUCCGGAAAGAAAUGGCUCUGGUUAAUACCUGGGGUCGAUGACGGUACCGGAAGAAUAAGGACCGGCUAACUACGUGCCAGCAGCCGCAGUAAGAC
rnacentral:rRNA from 1 species